rnacentral:rRNA from 1 species
CAGUCGCCGCGGUAAUACGAAGGGGGCUAGCGUUGUUCGGAAUUACUGGGCGUAAAGCGCACGUAGGCGGAUCGAUCAGUCAGGGGUGAAAUCCCAGGGCUCAACCCUGGAACUGCCUUUGAUACUGUCGAUCUGGAGUAUGGAAGAGGUGAGUGGAAUUCCGAGUGUAGAGGUGAAAUUCGUAGAUAUUCGGAGGAGCACCAGUGGCGAAGGCGGCUCACUGGUCCAUUACUGACGCUGAGGUGCGAAAGCGUGGGGAGCAAACAGGAUUAGAUACCCGCGUAGUCCCUGUCUCUUAUAC